rnacentral:rRNA from 1 species
UACGUAGGGACCAAGCGUUGUUCGGAUUUACUGGGCGUAAAGGGCGCGUAGGCGGCAAAUUAAGUCAUCUGUGAAAUCUCCGAGCUUAACUCGGAACGGUCAGGUGAUACUGAUCUGCUAGAGUGCGGAAGGGGCAAUCGGAAUUCUUGGUGUAGCGGUGAAAUGCGUAGAUAUCGAGAGGAACACCUGCGGCGAAGGCGGGUUGCUGGGCUGACACUGACGCUGAUGCGCGAAAG